GCAACUCAGCAGAGAGGAGGAGGGCUUCCAAAUCAACAUAAGAAAUUGGGUUUUCACGAGCUUGGGCAGCAGCAACGGUAUUUUCGAACUUGGGGCCAACAUUGGACAUGAUCACAGCAACAAGAUCGGCAUCAGUGAUUGGCGACCCAACAAGCGCCAGACUAUCAACAAGAGAGUGGAUGCGAUCCAGAUAGUCAGCGAUGGAGGAAUCACCACGCUUGGUUUGGAAGAAGGCUGUACGAAGUUGGAUGAUGCGACUCUGAUUGUGAGACGCAUAUCGGUGUUGCAAAGCAACCCAGACAUCACGAACAGAUUGGUAACGAGCAGUUGCAGAGAGAGCCUGUAGGCCAAGAGACCCAUUGAUACAAGAAAGAACCAAUUGAUCUUUCUGAAUCCAAUCCUCAUAAGCAGGAUUGACAUUGGUGGUGAGGUUUCCAGUAUCAUCCUUGAGAAAGUAGGCAGGGCAUUCGGAGGAUCCAUCAAUAAAAUGCAUCAGACGACGACUUUUGAGAACGGGUACAAUCUGAGCGAGCCAGAGAGGGUAGUUGGUGGUAUCAAGUUUGAGAGUAAUGGCGUGGGAAACAUUGGGGAGGGUGGAAGAAUCUAUAGAAUGAGGAGUAUUGGUAGUGGCAGCCAUGAGUAGAAAAAAAAAAAUAAUGGACGAUGAGUCAAGGGCUCUGAGAUACCAUAAAAGAUUAAGUAUUAUCGAAGAUAAAGGACACAGGUUUUGGUUGAAUGUUUAGGAUGAUCUUCCAUUGAUCUCAAUACAGGUAUUUAUACAAUUUCUUAGAGAGUUUAUAGGGGUUGACAAACUGUACAAGGAAAGAUUUUACAAUUGAAUAUGUGCAUACAAUCAGGAAGCUUAAUAAGGUAAAUGAAUGUGAUCAUGAUUUCAUGGGCUGAUGAGCUUGAUUCCCUCCAUCUUGUCUAUCAAUCCGGUGGUUGUCUCAUAUAUACAUCCUCAUUUAGAUACCCAUGCAAAAAUGAAUUUUGGACGUCCAACUGUCGAACAUGCCACUUCUUGGAAACUGCAAGACUUAAAACAAGUCUAAUGGUGCUAUGCUUGACAACAGGACUGAAGGUCUCCUUGUAAUCCAUCCCUGGUUUCUGAUGAAAACCAUUUGCCACAAGCCUCGCCAUAUGUCUCUCAAUCGAGCCAUCUGCACGUCGUUUGAUCUUAAACACCCACUUAUUUGGCAAUAGAUUCAUGCCACUAAGAUAAGGGACAUGAUUCCAAGUGCCACACCGCUGCAAGGCACUGAAUUCCUGGGCCAUCGCAGUCCUCCAUGUUAGAUGAAGUCUGUUGAAAAGAUUAUGAGAAGAUUAUUCUAAUGGCUUAUUCUAAUGGGAGCCAUUUUCUUCUGUCAAAGAUGCUCCACUCACAGUGCAUCGUGGACAGCAAGGGUCUUCACAUGGACUGCAGCAUUGUGGACAGCAAAGAUGCCUCUUCCAAUAUUUCUUUAUUGCAUGCGUGUGUAAUAUGAUGUAUAUAAAUAUCUGCUGCUAUUGCAGCAGAAUGUGUGGAUAGAAAAUAUUCAAUCCAUUUUUAAUAUGGUUUCUAGAGUUUUUUUUUGUCUAACGACAGCGAUCCUAGUUUCCUAUCCUUCCCAUCCUCGCUUCCAUGGCUGAAAACAAUGUUCCCGCUAGUUCAUCCACCCUCCCAAACAACUCUUUUCAUCCGUUUUCCACUGUUGUUAAUAUCAAACUUGAUAGAACCAACUACCCACUGUGGUUGGCUCAAAUACUCCCUAUCCUAAAAAGUAGGGACCUGAUGGGAUAUGUUGAUGGCACGCUGGUGUGUCCUCCAAAGAAUGUGACUGGUGUAACCACUCUGAACCCAGCGUACACUGCCUGGGUACAACAGGAUCAAAUGAUCCUCAGUUGGAUAAAUGGUUCUCUAACUGCCUCUGUCUUGUCUGUGGUGGCAAGCAAACGAACUGCUCGAGCAACCUGGGAAGCUCUUGAGCAAAGGUAUGCCUCUACUUCUCAAAAUAGAAUUUUGUUUUUUUGAGAAAUGAGUUGUUGCAGACCAAGAAAGGUGAUCUAUCUGUGGCGGAUUACCUGGAUCGCAUGAAUGCGAUAGCUGAUAACCUUGCCCUAGCUGGGCAUCCUGUGAGUGAUGAUGAGCUCGUGCAGAUUGUGUUGACCAAUCUUGGACCGGCCUUUGAGAUGACAGUAAGUGCUGCACAAGCUCGUGAUAAUCCUAUCACGUAUCCCACUCUUGAAGCACUCCUGCUCACAACCGAAAGAAGAAUGGCGGACCAAACUGUCCCUUUGGUGGAAGGUGCUACUGUCACUGCCUUCAUUGCGUCUAGAGGCCGUGGUGGAGGCCGCUCUUGUGGAAAUGGACGAGGCACCUCUCCAUCCACUCGUGGUGCUCAAAGAAGCUACAACCCACGCAAUAAUAAUUAUCAGCGCAAUCCUUCAGGUAAUAUUGAAAGAUCUGCUUCAUAUGGUGAUCGCAUUGUUUGCCAAAUCUGCGGCAAACCUGGACAUCCCGCUCUUGACUGCUACCACCGCAUGAAUACUGCUUUUGAAGGCCGAAUCCCUGCCCAACGUCUCUCGACAAUGACGUCCUCCACCAUCCCCAUCAACAAGCAGCAAAAUGGAACUUGGCUCCUGGACACAGGUGCCAACGCACAUAUUACUCCAGACCUUCAGAAUUUGGUAAAUCCUAAAGACUAUACUGGUAAAGAUGGUGUGGGAGGUAUAGGCAAUACUUCUGGAAUUUCUAUUGCACAUUGUGGUUCAACUCAACUUAAUACUACUGCUUGCUCAUUUGCUUUACAAGAUAUCCUUCAUUGCCCUACUGCUUCUACCAAUAUCAUCUCCGCCCAUAGGUUCACCUUAGACAAUGACUGUUAUUUACUAAUCUUUCCACAUUUUUUCCUUGUUAAGGACCUCAAGACACGGAAGACGCUUUUCCGAGGGAGAUGUGAGAAUGGGUUAUACCCAUUUCCAAAUGGCAGUGGUCAACUCAAGUAUCCAGUUUCUGCGUUUGUGGGAGUUAGGGUGUCUGUUCAAAAGUGGCAUGCUCGUCUUGGUCACCCUGCCAAACCAAUAAUCAAGUUUUUAAUUUCAAAUAAAUUUGUACCAAUUCAUGGUACAUCUAAUGUCAUCUUUUGUGAGUCAUGUCCUUUAGGAAAGAGUACUAGGUUACCUUUCAGUAAGUCUGAGUUUGUCUCUCAAUUUCCUUUGCAACUUUUACAUUCUGAUGUGUGGUGUUCUCCAAUUAUUUCUAAUGAAGGUUUUCGUUAUUACCUGUUGUUUGUGGAUGAUUAUUCCCGAUAUUCUUGGAUCUUUCCCAUGAAACAAAAAUCUGAAGUUUUUUGACAUAUUUGUAAAGUUUAAAGUUAAGGUUGAAAAGAUGUUUAAUUGUUCAAUUAAAACCCUUCAAUGUGAUGAAGGUGGUGAAUAUAAAAGUCAUGCCUUUCAAAAUUUUCUUGGCGUUCAUGGAAUUUCUCAACGUUUUUCUUGUCCAAAACAUCCUGAACAAAAUGGAUUGGCAGAACGGAAACACCGACACAUUGUCGAAACCAGUAUUGUUAUGCUUUCUCAAUCUCGUAUGCCUAAUAAGUUUUGGUUUGAUGCAUGCUUAACUGCUACAUACUUGAUAAACCGUCUGCCAACUCGUGUACUAUCAAACAUAUCUCCUUUUGAGAAAUUGUUUCAAAGAAAACCAAAUUAUGCCAUGUUAAAAGUUUUUGGUUGUCGUUGUUUUCCUUGGUUAACACCAUAUAAUCAAAAUAAAUUACAACAAAAAUCCAAGUCAUGUGUCUUUAUUGGGUAUUCUCUUGAUCAUCAAGGAUACAAAUGUUUGGAUCUGUCCACAAGACGAGUUUACUUGUCUCGCCAUGUCCUAUUCGAUGAGGAUUUUUUCCCUUUUAAGGGACUCACAUCUCAUCCUGAAAGCGUUGCAUCACAAGGUAACAAUCUUUUACCCCAAUUAUUAUUUACUUUUCCCUUAACCACAACUGUUCCCGUGUGUCCUACUACAACCAAUACCCAUAGUGCCCAGUCCUCUCUUGAUACUUCCAUCACGCCACAUAUCUCUUCCUCUCCUGAUCUAACAUCUCCACCCCCAAUACCAUUACCAUCUAACCAUUCCUUAGGACCCACACUACAAUCACAUGAGCAAGUGUUAGUCAAUUCACAAUCUUUGCCAGCUAAUGUGUCUAGUGAUACUGGCCACUCUAUGACUACACGUUCCAAGUCUGGAGUUGUCAAACCCAAUCCAAAGUAUGCUAUGCAUGUUACCAUUAAAGAUAUUCCUGUUGAACCAACUUGCUUCAGUCAGGCAGUCAAGCAUCAUGAGUGGAGGGAAGCUAUGGUGCAAGAAUUUAAUGCAUUACAAAGGUGUGGCACGUGGAGUUUAGUUCCACAUCAAUCUGACAUGAACGUACUGCCAAAUAAAUGGGUGUUCAAAAUUAAGCGCAAAGCAGAUGGCACUGUUGAGCGUCAUAAAGCUCGGUUAGUGGCUAAUGGUUUUCAUCAGAAGGCUGGCGUGGAUUACACUGAGACUUUUAGUCCUGUGGUUAAACACAGCACCAUUCGUUUUGUCUUAAGUCUUGCUGUGUCAAAGAAGUGGCCUGUACGCCAACUGGAUGUAUCAAAUGCGUUCUUGCAUGGCUACUUAAAUGAACAUGUUUACAUGCGGCAACCAUCAGGGUUCAUUGACAAACAGUUUCCAAAUCAUGUUUGUAAGCUGCAACGUUCUAUUUAUGGUUUAAAACAAGCACCUAGGGCUUGGUUCCAACGCUUCUCAGAUUUCUUGCUUCAACUGGGCUUUGAGGAGUCCACAUGUGAUUACAGUUUGUUUGUGUUUAAUCAACGGGGUGUAUAUCUCAUUCUUUUAAUCUAUGUCGAUGACAUUCUCCUCACAGGGAAUAGUCCUCGCCAGAUGGAUCAUUUGAUUAAGAAACUUGGUAGUUUGUUUUCAAUGAAGGAUUUGGGACCACUAAGUUAUUUCCUGGGUAUUGAGGUCAAGUAUAAUGGUGAUUUCAUGCAUCUCUGUCAGUCCAAAUAUGCUCUGGACCUACUGACUCGAACUAAAUUCACAGACGCAAAGCCCAUUUCCACUCCAGUGCCGUCUGGUCAGAAGUUGAGUGCCUAUGCUGGAGAUCCUUUUGCCAAUCCAGAGAUGUAUCGUAGUGUUGUUGGGGCACUACAGUAUCUUACGAUAACUCGGCCUGAUUUAUCAUACGCUGUGAAUCAAGUGUGCCAGUUCAUGCACUAUAAAAAAACAACGCACUGGAUGGCUGUAAAGAGAAUCCUACGGUAUCUGAAGGCUACGUAUAAUCAUGGGUUAUUGUAUAAACCAGGAACUGCGAAGUUGACAGCUUUUUCUGAUGCAGAUUAUGCUGGCAACCCCGAUACUCGUCACUCCACAGGUGGUUUCUGUGUUUAUUUGGGUUCCAACCUUGUAUCCUAGAGUUCAAAAAAGCAAAAGACAGUAUCGAGUGCAGAGGCAGAGUAUAGGCAGUUAGCUUAUACUGCAGCAGAGUUAUCAUGGUUAAGGUCUCUUUAUAAAGAUCUCCAUCUCCAUCUGGUUCAACCAACCAUUUGGUGUGACAAUGUUUCUUCAAUUGCCCUUGCGUCCAAUCCGGUUUUUCAUUCGAGAACCAAGCAUCUUGAGGUUGACUAUCAUUAUGUUCGUGAGAAGGUUGUUCGUGGUCAGUUGUUGGUCAAUUAUGUGUGUUCCCAGGACCAACUUGCUGACAUUUUCACUAAAGGAUUGUCUUCGUCCAGAUUUCAGUUCCUUAUCUCCAAGCUCCCAGUUGUACCACCCCCUGUUAGCUUGCGGGGGGCUGUUAGAUGAAGUCUGUUGAAAAGAUUAUGAGAAGAUUAUUCUAAUGGAUUAUUCUAAUGGGAGCCAUUUUCUUCUGUCGAAGAUGCUCCACUCACAGUGCAUCGUGGACAGCAA
rnacentral:lncRNA from 1 species